UUAUUCACUCAUUUCCCUUUCUUCUUCUUACAUAAGCUUCUCGAGCUUCAAUGACUAAAUCUGUCUCACCUCUCUCAAUAUUUUAGCAUGGUAUCAAACUAUGGCGGCAGAAAAACUCACCUACACACAUCUAUUAUUCAUUAAUCCUGCUGAUACUCCUAGUUCGGUACUUGUUCCAGUCAAACUCACUGUAUCAGAAAAUUAUGACCUAUGGAGUAGAUCAAUGCGCAUCGCUCUUCAAGCAAAGAGAAAGCUAGGGUUCGUACUAGGUACCUGUAAAAAAUAAUCCUUUGACAAGGAGCUGCAGGAACAAUGGAAAUAUGCGAUGCAAUUGUCCUCUCAUGGAUUAUCAAUAUAGGUUCUGAAGAUCCACUUAGUGAAAUUGUAUAUGCCUCUAAUUCUUACGUUGUGGAAGGAUCUCAAGAAGCGAUUUGACAAAGUCAAUCACAUGAGAAUUUUCCAAGUUCACUGUCAAAUUGCCAAUCAUUCACAAGGAUAAAGGGGAUUGGUAGCCGGAGAGGAAACUUGUACAUAUACAAAGUUGCAGACAACCGUAAGCAUGACACAAAACACCCAAUAAUAUUAAUAGUUCAUGGACAAGGCAAUACUUUAUAGCAUCAAAGACUUGGACAUCCUAUCAUACCAGGCAUGAAGUCUCUGAAUUUGUUGCAUAAUUAUGUAGAUAGUUUAUAGUUGAAUAAGUUCCCAAUUUGCCCCUUAGCAAAACAUAAUGUUUUCUAGUAGUGACUCUA